CUAGCCUUGGCAGAGGUGCUGGCAGCGCUGCCCGAAGGAGGACCCCGGCAGCUGGGAGGGCGCGGGAGGCCGGGGACGCCCGAGGGUCGGGCGGCCCUGGAAGGAGGUGGUGUCUGGAGCGGUCUGGCAGGAGCGAGCCGAAGCACACUGCUCGGCCUUGACUGCCUCUCUCCCAAAUCUGGUUUUCAUAGAGCCGCGCAGUAAUUACCUAAAGCCAUAACUGUCUCUGAAAUUAUUCAUUAAAGUCAUUCCCGGGAAUCUAGCGGCACGAGAGCCUACAUUUACGGCCUUUGCGCCCUCCGAGCAUGACAUCGUCUCUCGCCUUGCGUCCUCGGCGGCCGAGUGCUCAGCAUCGCAGAGAGGAAGGGGGAGACAGGAUUGCUCUCUCUUGCCUUCCCCUCGGUGUAUUUGUUUGCGGGGGCUCAGGUUGCUUUCCCCCUUUUGGCAAAGGAGCGCGAUGCAACCCGGCAGAUACCUUGGGAGCGAGGAGGGUAUUUUGGGGAGUUGCAGUGUUGUGCGGAACAUCAUGUCUGUGCCCUGUGGUGCUGUCAGCGGUGACAGAUCCCAGAUGCAGUCGCUACUGUAUGGCAGAUUGAGUUUCUCAGCAGAAAACUCUCUCCCUCCCUCCCAAACGUCUUCAAAAACCUUCUCCAGAUACUGCGGGUCACUUCGGCUCAAACGGGGAGAGAAAGGGGGGAAAAAAGGCUUUUCCUCUCUCCUCCCUCUCUCUUCCUCCCGCCGGAUCUCUCUGGGGUGCGCGGGGGGCCGUGACCGGGCCCUUGUGCACCCGGGGGCCCGAGGCGACCCCUCUCACCCUGGUCCUGCUGAGAGCCCGUCGCCGAGCACGGGGACCGUGGUCCAGCCGACAUCUAAUUCAGCCAAACACAGCAAAUAUCUCUACCUCAAGUCCAAGAAUCUGAUGGAUACUCCUUUACCCCUGCUUAAUGACUGCAUGUGACCUGUCCUGUGAUCUGCCGAGGUCUGGAGUCAUCUGACAUCGGUAGUAAUGGGGAAUGGAGAAGGAUCUUAUGGCUUUGGACUGUUGGAAAACAGAGCGGAGAUGGCCCACAAGUGGAUCAAAUCAGUCCUGCACUGUUGUACCCAGUCUAUAGCAAAACUCCCUUUUGAGGAAGAUUCUGCAGACUUAAGGACCGAGGAGUUAGGACUGGGAGCUAAGGAAAGGACACGAGUAACUUCCUUCAUAGCUGGUUUUAAAAAGCCAGCUGCUUUCUACAGUCAAGUCAAAACUAAGGGAGAUGGUCUGAGGUUAAGAAAUAUGCAGGAUAAUUUUCACACCAAAUGUGAAAAAUGAGAAAUUAUUUUAACAUGUUGCAACUUGUCAUAAAAAUAUAUGUUCCUUUCCAUCUUUAAAAGAAGACUUUAUAAACUCUACUGUCUUUGAUUUUUUAAAGAGAUUUUAUAUUGAUUUUUUAAUUCAUAUGUUCUUAAGAAAGCAUAAUGAAACACUUGUUUCUAUUAUCUUGAUUAGUGCUUCAUUAUAUAAGGAUUUGGUCAUUGAAACAUACACUAAAUAUUGCACUGUAAAUUGUGUUGUGACUUAUUCAAUACCUUUGGAAUUAAUAGUAAAAAUUCAAGGUUGCAAAAAUGGUAUUUAAUUUUUAAUUUUAUUUAGUUUAAUAAAAAACUCACUUGACUG